UACAGAGGGUGCAAGCGUUAAUCGGAAUUACUGGGCGUAAAGGGCGCGUAGGCGGUUAAUUAAGUGAGAUGUGAAAUCCCUGGGCUUAACCUAGGAACUGCAUCUUAUACUGGUUGACUAGAGUACUGUAGAGGGUAGUGGAAUUUCCGGUGUAGCGGUGAAAUGCGUAGAGAUCGGAAGGAACACCAGUGGCGAAGGCGGCUACCUGGACAGAUACUGACGCUGAGGCGCGAGAGCGUGGGGAGCAAACAGG
rnacentral:rRNA from 1 species